UACGGAGGGGACUAGCGUUGUUCGGAAUUACUGGGCGUAAAGCGCGCGUAGGCGGAUUUGCAAGUCGGGGGUGAAAUCCCGAGGCUCAACCUCGGAACUGCCUUCGAUACUGCAAAUCUCGAGUCCGGAAGAGGUGAGUGGAGUUCCUAGUGUAGAGGUGAAAUUCGUAGAUAUUAGGAAGAACACCAGUGGCGAAGGCGGCUCACUGGUCCGGUACUGACGCUGAGGCGCGAAAGCGUGGGGAGCAAACAGG
rnacentral:rRNA from 1 species